rnacentral:rRNA from 1 species
UACGUAGGGUGCAAGCGUUGUUCGGAAUUACUGGGCGUAAAGCGCGCGUAGGCGGCUUUGUAAGUUAGAGGUGAAAGCCCGGAGCUCAACUUCGGAAUUGCCUUUAAGACUGCAUCGCUUGAAUCAUGGAGAGGUCAGUGGAAUUCCGAGUGUAGAGGUGAAAUUCGUAGAUAUUCGGAAGAACACCAGUGGCGAAGGCGACUGACUGGACAUGUAUUGACGCUGAGGUGCGAAAGCGUGGGGAGCAAACAGG